rnacentral:rRNA from 1 species
GUAGGGUGCGAGCGUUAAUCGGAAUUACUGGGCGUAAAGUGUGCGCAGGUGGCCGCGCAUGUCGAGUGUGAAAUCCCCGGGCUUAACUUGGGAAUUGCGCUCGAAACUACGUGGCUGGAGUGUGGCAGAGGGAGGUGGAAUUCCACGUGUAGCGGUGAAAUGCGUAGAGAUGUGGAGGAACACCAAUGGCGAAGGCAGCCUCCUGGGCCAACACUGACACUCAUGCACGAAAGCGUGGGGAGCAAACAGGAUUAGAUACCCUGGUAGUCCACGCCCUAAACGAUGAUGACUAGUUGUUGGGGGAGUUAAAUCCCUUAGUAACGCAGCUAACGCGCGAAGUCAUCCGCCUGGGGAGUACGGUCGCAAGAUUAAA